UGGAAUUCAAUACUCGGUUCCC
rnacentral:siRNA from 1 species